rnacentral:rRNA from 1 species
GACGUAGGGCGCGAGCGUUGUCCGGAUUUAUUGGGCGUAAAGAGCUCGUAGGCGGCUUGUCGCGUCGACUGUGAAAACCCGUGGCUCAACCAUGUGGUCUGCAGUCGAUACGGGCAGGCUAGAAUUCGGUAGGGGAGACUGGAAUUCCUGGUGUAGCGGUGAAAUGCGCAGAUAUCGGGAAGAACACCCGUGGCGAAGGCGGUUCUCUGGGCCGUAACUGACGCUGAGGAGCGAAAGCAUGGGGAGCGAACAGG